rnacentral:rRNA from 1 species
UACAGAGGGUGCAAGCGUUAAUCGGAGUUACUGGGCGUAAAGGGUGCGUAGGUGGUUUGGUAAGUUAGAUGUGAAAGCCCCGGGCUUAACCUGGGAAUGGCAUUUAAUACUGCUGAGCUGGAGUAUGGUAGAGGGUAGUGGAAUUUCCGGUGUAGCGGUGAAAUGCGUAGAUAUCGGAAGGAACACCAGUGGCGAAGGCGGCUACCUGGACUAAUACUGACACUGAGGCACGAAAGCGUGGGGAGCGAACAGG